rnacentral:rRNA from 1 species
ACUAAGCGUACACGGUGGAUGCCCUGGCAGUCAGAGGCGAUGAAGGACGUGCUAAUCUGCGAUAAGCGUCGGUGAGGUGAUAUGAACCGUUAUAACCGGCGAUUUCCGAAUGGGGAAACCCAGUGUGUUUCGACACACUAUCAUUAACUGAAUCCAUAGGUUAAUGAGGCGAACCGGGGGAACUGAAACAUCUAAGUACCCCGAGGAAAAGAAAUCAACCGAGAUUCCCCCAGUAGCGGCGAGCGAACGGGGAGGAGCCCAGAGCCUGAAUCAGUGUGUGUGUUAGUGGAAGCGUCUGGAAAGGCGUGCGAUACAGGGUGACAGCCCCGUACACAAAAAUGCACAUAUUGUGAGCUCGAUGAGUAGGGCGGGACACGUGGUAUCCUGUCUGAAUAUGGGGGGACCAUCCUCCAAGGCUAAAUACUCCUGACUGACCGAUAGUGAACCAGUACCGUGAGGGAAAGGCGAAAAGAACCCCGGCGAGGGGAGUGAAAAAGAACCUGAAACCGUGUACGUACAAGCAGUGGGAGCCUCUUAAUGGGGUGACUGCGUACCUUUUGUAUAAUGGGUCAGCGACUUAUAUUCUGUAGCAAGGUUAACCGAAUAGGGGAGCCGAAGGGAAACCGAGUCUUAACUGGGCGUUAAGUUGCAGGGUAUAGACCCGAAACCCGGUGAUCUAGCCAUGGGCAGGUUGAAGGUUGGGUAACACUAACUGGAGGACCGAACCGACUAAUGUUGAAAAAUUAGCGGAUGACUUGUGGCUGGGGGUGAAAGGCCAAUCAAACCGGGAGAUAGCUGGUUCUCCCCGAAAGCUAUUUAGGUAGCGCCUCGUGAAUUCAUCUCCGGGGGUAGAGCACUGUUUCGGCAAGGGGGUCAUCCCGACUUACCAACCCGAUGCAAACUGCGAAUACCGGAGAAUGUUAUCACGGGAGACACACGGCGGGUGCUAACGUCCGUCGUGAAGAGGGAAACAACCCAGACCGCCAGCUAAGGUCCCAAAGUCAUGGUUAAGUGGGAAACGAUGUGGGAAGGCCCAGACAGCCAGGAUGUUGGCUUAGAAGCAGCCAUCAUUUAAAGAAAGCGUAAUAGCUCACUGGUCGAGUCGGCCUGCGCGGAAGAUGUAACGGGGCUAAACCAUGCACCGAAGCUGCGGCAGCGACACUAUGUGUUGUUGGGUAGGGGAGCGUUCUGUAAGCCUGUGAAGGUGGCCUGUGAGGGUUGCUGGAGGUAUCAGAAGUGCGAAUGCUGACAUAAGUAACGAUAAAGCGGGUGAAAAGCCCGCUCGCCGGAAGACCAAGGGUUCCUGUCCAACGUUAAUCGGGGCAGGGUGAGUCGACCCCUAAGGCGAGGCCGAAAGGCGUAGUCGAUGGGAAACAGGUUAAUAUUCCUGUACUUGGUGUUACUGCGAAGGGGGGACGGAGAAGGCUAUGUUGGCCGGGCGACGGUUGUCCCGGUUUAAGCGUGUAGGCUGGUUUUCCAGGCAAAUCCGGAAAACCAAGGCUGAGGCGUGAUGACGAGGCACUACGGUGCUGAAGUGACAAAUGCCCUGCUUCCAGGAAAAGCCUCUAAGCAUCAGGUAACAUCAAAUCGUACCCCAAACCGACACAGGUGGUCAGGUAGAGAAUACCAAGGCGCUUGAGAGAACUCGGGUGAAGGAACUAGGCAAAAUGGUGCCGUAACUUCGGGAGAAGGCACGCUGAUAUGUAGGUGAAGCGACUUGCUCGUGGAGCUGAAAUCAGUCGAAGAUACCAGCUGGCUGCAACUGUUUAUUAAAAACACAGCACUGUGCAAACACGAAAGUGGACGUAUACGGUGUGACGCCUGCCCGGUGCCGGAAGGUUAAUUGAUGGGGUUAGCGGUAACGCGAAGCUCUUGAUCGAAGCCCCGGUAAACGGCGGCCGUAACUAUAACGGUCCUAAGGUAGCGAAAUUCCUUGUCGGGUAAGUUCCGACCUGCACGAAUGGCGUAAUGAUGGCCAGGCUGUCUCCACCCGAGACUCAGUGAAAUUGAACUCGCUGUGAAGAUGCAGUGUACCCGCGGCAAGACGGAAAGACCCCGUGAACCUUUACUAUAGCUUGACACUGAACAUUGAGCCUUGAUGUGUAGGAUAGGUGGGAGGCUUUGAAGUGUGGACGCCAGUCUGCAUGGAGCCGACCUUGAAAUACCACCCUUUAAUGUUUGAUGUUCUAACGUUGGCCCGUAAUCCGGGUUGCGGACAGUGUCUGGUGGGUAGUUUGACUGGGGCGGUCUCCUCCUAAAGAGUAACGGAGGAGCACGAAGGUUGGCUAAUCCUGGUCGGACAUCAGGAGGUUAGUGCAAUGGCAUAAGCCAGCUUGACUGCGAGCGUGACGGCGCGAGCAGGUGCGAAAGCAGGUCAUAGUGAUCCGGUGGUUCUGAAUGGAAGGGCCAUCGCUCAACGGAUAAAAGGUACUCCGGGGAUAACAGGCUGAUACCGCCCAAGAGUUCAUAUCGACGGCGGUGUUUGGCACCUCGAUGUCGGCUCAUCACAUCCUGGGGCUGAAGUAGGUCCCAAGGGUAUGGCUGUUCGCCAUUUAAAGUGGUACGCGAGCUGGGUUUAGAACGUCGUGAGACAGUUCGGUCCCUAUCUGCCGUGGGCGCUGGAGAACUGAGGGGGGCUGCUCCUAGUACGAGAGGACCGGAGUGGACGCAUCACUGGUGUUCGGGUUGUCAUGCCAAUGGCACUGCCCGGUAGCUAAAUGCGGAAGAGAUAAGUGCUGAAAGCAUCUAAGCACGAAACUUGCCCCGAGAUGAGUUCUCCCUGACUCCUUGAGGGUCCUGAAGGAACGUUGAAGACGACGACGUUGAUAGGCCGGGUGUGUAAGCGCAGCGAUGCGUUGAGCUAACCGGUACUAAUGAACCGUGAGGCUUAACC